GACGAAGGAUGCAAGCGUUAUCCGGAUUCAUUGGGUUUAAAGGGAGCGUAGGUGGCCUUAUAAGUCAGUGGUGAAAGCCCACAGCUCAACUGUGGAAUUGCCAUUGAUACUGGUAGUCUUGAGUGCGUAUGAAGUUGGCGGAAUGUGUGGUGUAGCGGUGAAAUGCUUAGAUAUCACACAGAACACCGAUUGCGAAGGCAGCUGACUAAUACGUAACUGACGCUCAGGGACGAAAGUGUGGGGAUCAAACAGG
rnacentral:rRNA from 1 species